GUGCCAGCAGCCGCGGUAAUACGGAGGGUGCAAGCGUUGUUCGGAAUUAUUGGGCGUAAAGGGCGUGUAGGUGGCAUUCCAAGUCUGGUGUGAAAUCCCACGGCUCAACCGUGGAACUGCAUUGGAAACUGGAACGCUCGAGGGUUGGAGGGGGUCGCGGAAUUCCCGGUGUAGAGGUGAAAUUCGUAGAUAUCGGGAGGAACACCAGUGGCGAAGGCGGCGACCUGGCCAAUCACUGACACUGAGACGCGAAAGCGUGGGGAGCAAACAGGAUUAGAUACCCCCGUAGUCC
rnacentral:rRNA from 1 species